AUACCCAGCUCCCCUUUUUACCCCCCCAACCCUAGCAGGGACAGUCCCCCUGUGCCCGGCGAUGCCCUCACCUUUCCCUGAGGGUCCAUCCCGGCCCCAUGCUGCGCCUCGAGGUACUCCAAGGACAUCCUCGGAGCGACAGCCAAGGAGAUGCACAAAGGCCUUGGCCAAGUUUGAGGCCCCAUCACACAGACUGUUCCACAUAGCCACGGUUAACCCACGGAGCCUGAUGUCCCCCAGGGGACCUGCAUCACCUUCCCCCUUUUACCCAGGAUGGACCCGAGGCACAGGGCUCAGUCAAACACUCAGACACAGACAGAAGCACUUCCCACUCCACACUGUGUGCGGGGACUGCAAACACUAAACUUUGUAGGUCAGUCUGCAGAGUUGUGUUACUCUUUUAGCUCAGUUUCCUUGGGAAACAGACCUGCAUCUCGCUCUGUCUUUUCUCAGCAACACCCAUCCCUCCCCAAAACAUUUCAUUCGAUCAGCCAUUCUCACCCAUAUUUGGAAGAGAGAUUGAAAUCUUUGACAAAAUUUAGUUCCUGCUGGUCUUGUGCAGGGGCGAAAGGUCCAGAGGAAUUUGCUCAGAAGAGGAGUGAGGGCUCAGCGAAGAUGCCACGCAGCAAGCAGCUGAUCCAGCUGCACCCACAGACCCUCCUGGCUCCAUGCCUCCCUUCUUGUCUGGAAGAAAUUCCUCAGAGAGAUGAAGGAGUUGGUGGUUACAGGGAUGAUGAGACAAAAUGAGACCUCCAGGAAACUGGACUUUGUUUCUGGCUGUACACAGCCCCUGCACACUGUUUCAAUGUUCUUUUUGUACAGCAACAGUCAGGGCACACAGCAAGUCUUGAAAGGAGUACUUUUGAUCUGGGAUUUAACCAACAGGUUGAUUCCUAGAAAUCAAGAUUGACUGAAAGCCUAUUAUUUGCUGUGAAUCCUAGAGACUUCAGUAUAGCCAUUGUUAUAUCGAGCAUCUGAUUUUUGGUUUUUAAGCUCCCUAUUCCUCUUCCCCCCCUUGGAAAAAGAAAAGGGAAAAGGAAAAGCAAAGAGAAAGGGAAAGGGAAAAGAAGAAUAUUUGAGCUAUCAGUCCUCCAAAGGAACAAGAGCCCAAUUGACGGAAAGUUACCGGAGAUGCUGGAAGCGUUACAAAGCCAACAGGAGACGAGCUAUGUCAAACCUAUACAACGUCACCUGUCCCAGAAUUAAUAUCCUUGGCUGCCAACAAGGAGAGUCUAAAGUGGAGAGGACUGGCCAGGCAGGUCACAGCCUGCGAUUAGGCACACAGUUCUGAGUCCCAUUCCCCUCUCAACACCCACAUUAGUCAGAGGAACUAUAAUCCUGUUUCAUUUUUCUCUGUCCCUCCUUCUCUGUCCCAUUUGCCACAGACUAAGGCUAAAGAGAAGGUUUAUUUAGUACUCUUCUGUUACAUCCAAAAGAGAACUACCUUGUGGUAAAUCUUGAGGCUCUAGGUACUCAAGCCUUAGUUUUGCUCCUAAUCCAUUGGAGCCCAUUUGCACCAGCUGAGGAGGCUUUGCACAGCUGAUCCCACUGAUUUAGGAUCUUGGUUCCAGAUACACUUCAAAAAGA